CUCAAACCUGGAGGAGCGCUCGGGAACUGCAACCUCAGCCGAGCUGAACAACCUCAGGCAGAGAGAUUCUGGUUUACUCCCCAGUGGCUACGGAGACGCCUUGGAGGCCUUGGAGUCUGCUCACCUUGAGGGAUGGAGGCCAAAAGGGGCCCAGAGCACAAGGCUGAGCACCGCUGGGUUGAGGUCUCCAUGACCAAGCUGGUCUCAGCAAGUGGCGCCCAAACAUGGGGCUCGAACCCGGGUCGAAGGGUCGCCAGAGCGAUGGUUGGAGAACAUGGAACUACGCUGGAGCACACCUGAGUACUCUUAAGCAAUCCCCAUGAGGUUAUGCUUGUGUUUCUAAAGGACUGAAUCAACAGCCAAUUUGGGUGCCAUUGAGACAUCUAAAGCCCUACUAUGUUGGGGUGAUCAGACUGAACACUAGGCCAUGGGGGCUACGAAGUAUGGCAGAGUCAAAGGAAUGAGACAAGUUAAGAGUUCAUAGGGUGGGUCCAGGGGGCCAACACUAGUAUGGAGGCUGCGAAGUCCCUGAGCUCUGGGAGCCCACACUAUUUAUUGGUGAUCAAAGAAGCAGGUGGUGAGGACGUGUGGACAUGGGGGUAGACAGGUGAGGAUGUGGGGGUAGAAAGGUAGCUGUGAUGGUUUAGCAUAUGCUCUGCUACUUGAGAUAAUGGAGAAUAGGUUCUUCUAACUCAAGAUACAAUCAAUUUAUGAGCCACAAGGGGUUUUAUGCCCUGGGCUUAGACUGUAGUGCAGCGGGGCAGCCUUCCAUCCUUAGGCACAGAGCUUGGUGUUCCAUAGGCCACAAGGGGUUUUAGACCCGGGACCCAGGACAUGUUCCAAGACUCUUUUACAUUAUGUCAGACAAGCAGGCCCUGCCUCAGCCCUUCUACCGACACAGAAAGUGGAACAACGGGUUUGGUGGAAAGACCCGAUAACAAAAGGUUGUGAAACAGGUAAAAUAAUAACAUGGGGCAGAGGUUAUGCUUGUGUUUCUCCAGGACAGAAUCAACAGCCAAUUUGGGUGCCAUCGAGAUAUCUAAAGCCCUACUAUGAGCCAGAUAACGAGGAAGAGGUUUUGGGAGGAUCCCAAACACCCACUGGUGGCAGCAUUGUCCAAGUUGAUGCUGAGGAUGACCCCCAACUGUCACGAGCAACACUCAUCGAAAGCAGCCACCUACCUGGGGACAGAUCAAGAAGCUGUCACAGAUGGUGGAAGAAAACCUGAGGAAAGCAGGACAAGCAGUCACAUCUGCAGAUGCGGAUCCUGACUCCUGCAAGAAGUAGCUCACUGUGAUAAAGCCGCCUUUGCUUUUAUUGCCCUGGUAAAACAAAAAGGGGGACAUGCUGGGAAUAGGCCCCAAGCCUGGCCAUAAACAAGCCAUAAGAAAAGUCAUAAACAAGAUCUCUGCAGCACUGUGACAUGCUCGUGAUGGUUAUGAUGCACACACUGGAGGUUGCUGGUUCACCAGAAUGAGGGCAAGGAACACCUGGCCCACCCAGGGCGGAAAACUGCUCAAGGUGUUCCUAAACCACAAACAAUGGCAUAAGCAAUCUGUGCCUUAAUGACAUGCUCCUGCUGCAGAUAACAAGCCAGAGCCUGUCCCUUUGUUCUCCUUAAAGAAUACUUUCAGUUAAUCUACAAACUACAGAAACGAUGUUUAUCACAGGCUGUCAAUAAAUAGGUGGGUCAAACUCUGUUCGAGGCUCUCAGCUCUGAAGGCUGUUAGCCCCCUGAUCCCACUUUGCACUCUAUUUCUGUCUAUGUCUUUAUUCCUCUAGUGCUGCUGGAUUGUGGUCUCCAUGACCGACCUGG
rnacentral:lncRNA from 10 species